AUAAAUGAUGGUAGCCUCUUCUUUAUCUCCUUCCCUUGAGGUGAAAUGAGGGAAGGAUCAUGAAAAGGGAGAAAACAAGAAGGUGAUUUCCAAAUAGACCAGAAAAAGAGAUAUCUUCGACAGGAUAAAGGAGAGGAAAUGAAACUAAGUCAGCAAUGCAGAUGUUUUACCAAUAGAUCAUUCUGGCUAUGUACAAAUGAAAAUCUCACUAAAUACCUCGGAGUCAUUAACAAAGAAAUGAGCAAACUAAAAUGGUACGGAGGAGAAACAUAUCUUGAUGAAAAUAAUAAAGCAAGGUGAACAAAUAUAACGAAGCUGCCAUGUCAGGAAAUGACUCUGUGACAUACCAUGUGGUGAUGACAUUUAUGAAAGGAAGUUGAUGGUAAUAAAAGCAUCCAGACUGAUAUCUUAUUUAAAGUCAUUCAAGCAACAUUUAUGGAGUAACCUUACAGGCCAAGUACUGUGUUAUUUUCUGGAGGGGACAAAAACAA